GGGUUGUGAGGUUAAGCGACUAAGCGUACACGGUGGAUGCCCUGGCAGUCAGAGGCGAUGAAGGACGUGCUAAUCUGCGAAAAGCGUCGGUAAGGUGAUAUGAACCGUUAUAACCGGCGAUGUCCGAAUGGGGAAACCCAGUGCAAUUCGUUGCACUAUCGUUAACUGAAUACAUAGGUUAACGAGGCGAACCGGGGGAACUGAAACAUCUAAGUACCCCGAGGAAAAGAAAUCAACCGAGAUUCCCCCAGUAGCGGCGAGCGAACGGGGAGCAGCCCAGAGUCUGAAUCAGCUUGUGUGUUAGUGGAACGGUCUGGAAAGUCCGACGGUACAGGGUGAUAGUCCCGUACACCAAAAUGCACAGGUUGUGAACUCGAAGAGUAGGGCGGGACACGUGGUAUCCUGUCUGAAUAUGGGGGGACCAUCCUCCAAGGCUAAAUACUCCUGACUGACCGAUAGUGAACCAGUACCGUGAGGGAAAGGCGAAAAGAACCCCGGCGAGGGGAGUGAAAAAGAACCUGAAACCGUGUACGUACAAGCAGUGGGAGCACCUUCGGGUGUGACUGCGUACCUUUUGUAUAAUGGGUCAGCGACUUAUAUUCUGUAGCAAGGUUAACCGUAUAGGGGAGCCGCAGGGAAACCGAGUCUUAACUGGGCGUUAAGUUGCAGGGUAUAGACCCGAAACCCGGUGAUCUAGCCAUGGGCAGGUUGAAGGUUGGGUAACACUAACUGGAGGACCGAACCGACUAAUGUUGAAAAAUUAGCGGAUGACUUGUGGCUGGGGGUGAAAGGCCAAUCAAACCGGGAGAUAGCUGGUUCUCCCCGAAAGCUAUUUAGGUAGCGCCUCGUGAACUCAUCUUCGGGGGUAGAGCACUGUUUCGGCUAGGGGGUCAUCCCGACUUACCAACCCGAUGCAAACUACGAAUACCGAAGAAUGUUAUCACGGGAGACACACGGCGGGUGCUAACGUCCGUCGUGAAGAGGGAAACAACCCAGACCGCCAGCUAAGGUCCCAAAGUCAUGGUUAAGUGGGAAACGAUGUGGGAAGGCACAGACAGCCAGGAUGUUGGCUUAGAAGCAGCCAUCAUUUAAAGAAAGCGUAAUAGCUCACUGGUCGAGUCGGCCUGCGCGGAAGAUGUAACGGGGCUAAACCAUGCACCGAAGCUGCGGCAGCGACACUAUGUGUUGUUGGGUAGGGGAGCGUUCUGUAAGCCUGCGAAGGUGUGCUGUGAGGCAUGCUGGAGGUAUCAGAAGUGCGAAUGCUGACAUAAGUAACGAUAAAGCGGGUGAAAAGCCCGCUCGCCGGAAGACCAAGGGUUCCUGUCCAACGUUAAUCGGGGCAGGGUGAGUCGACCCCUAAGGCGAGGCCGAAAGGCGUAGUCGAUGGGAAACAGGUUAAUAUUCCUGUACUUGGUGUUACUGCGAAGGGGGGACGGAGAAGGCUAUGUUAGCCGGGCGACGGUUGUCCCGGUUUAAGCAUGUAGGCUGAUUGUCCAGGCAAAUCCGGAUAAUCAAGGCUGAGGUGUGAUGACGAGGCACUACGGUGCUGAAGUAACAAAUGCCCUGCUUCCAGGAAAAGCCUCUAAGCAUCAGGUAACAUCAAAUCGUACCCCAAACCGACACAGGUGGUCAGGUAGAGAAUACCAAGGCGCUUGAGAGAACUCGGGUGAAGGAACUAGGCAAAAUGGUGCCGUAACUUCGGGAGAAGGCACGCUGGUGUGUAGGUGAAGCCCCUGCGGGUGGAGCUGAGACCAGUCGAAGAUACCAGCUGGCUGCAACUGUUUAUUAAAAACACAGCACUGUGCAAACACGAAAGUGGACGUAUACGGUGUGACGCCUGCCCGGUGCCGGAAGGUUAAUUGAUGGGGUUAUCCGUAAGGAGAAGCUCUUGAUCGAAGCCCCGGUAAACGGCGGCCGUAACUAUAACGGUCCUAAGGUAGCGAAAUUCCUUGUCGGGUAAGUUCCGACCUGCACGAAUGGCGUAAUGAUGGCCAGGCUGUCUCCACCCGAGACUCAGUGAAAUUGAACUCGCUGUGAAGAUGCAGUGUACCCGCGGCAAGACGGAAAGACCCCGUGAACCUUUACUAUAGCUUGACACUGAACAUUGAGCCUUGAUGUGUAGGAUAGGUGGGAGGCUUUGAAGCGUGGACGCCAGUCUGCGUGGAGCCAACCUUGAAAUACCACCCUUUAAUGUUUGAUGUUCUAACGUUGGCCCCUUACCGGGGUUGCGGACAGUGUCUGGUGGGUAGUUUGACUGGGGCGGUCUCCUCCCAAAGCGUAACGGAGGAGCACGAAGGUUAGCUAAUCCUGGUCGGACAUCAGGAGGUUAGUGCAAUGGCAUAAGCUAGCUUGACUGCGAGCGUGACGGCGCGAGCAGGUGCGAAAGCAGGUCAUAGUGAUCCGGUGGUUCUGAAUGGAAGGGCCAUCGCUCAACGGAUAAAAGGUACUCCGGGGAUAACAGGCUGAUACCGCCCAAGAGUUCAUAUCGACGGCGGUGUUUGGCACCUCGAUGUCGGCUCAUCACAUCCUGGGGCUGAAGUAGGUCCCAAGGGUAUGGCUGUUCGCCAUUUAAAGUGGUACGCGAGCUGGGUUUAGAACGUCGUGAGACAGUUCGGUCCCUAUCUGCCGUGGGCGCUGGAGAAUUGAGGGGGGCUGCUCCUAGUACGAGAGGACCGGAGUGGACGCAUCACUGGUGUUCGGGUUGUCAUGCCAAUGGCACUGCCCGGUAGCUAAAUGCGGAAGAGAUAAGUGCUGAAAGCAUCUAAGCACGAAACUUGCCCCGAGAUGAGUUCUCCCUGAGACUUUAAGUCUCCUGAAGGAACGUUAAAGACGAUGACGUUGAUAGGCCGGGUGUGUAAGCGCAGCGAUGCGUUGAGCUAACCGGUACUAAUGAACCGUGAGGCUUAACCUUACAACGCCGAAG
rnacentral:rRNA from 1 species